rnacentral:rRNA from 1 species
UACAGAGGUCCCAAGCGUUGUUCGGAUUCUUUGGGCGUAAAGGGUGCGUAGGCGGCGCGGUAAGUCGGGUGUGAAAUCUCGGGGCUUAACUCCGAAACUGCAUUCGAUACUGCCGUGCUUGAGGACUGGAGAGGAGACUGGAAUUUACGGUGUAGCGGUGAAAUGCGUAGAUAUCGUAAGGAAGACCAGUGGCGAAGGCGGGUCUCUGGACAGUUCCUGACGCUGAGGCACGAAGGCCAGGGGAGCAAACGGG